rnacentral:lncRNA from 1 species
GAUUCGAGGAUUUUAGUCGCUAUUGUUGGUCUGAUUUUGGAUGUUCGAUGUCUACACACGGAGGAAAUGAAAUGAGACUAAUUCAAGCUUUUUUGCAUGUUCAGCGAAGCAUGUUUAGUUGUCUUGUUAUAUUUAUCAGCUUUCAAUUCCUAUUAGGCUUAUAGCUCUUCUCAGUUAUUCUCUUCUACCGGUUUGUUAUGGUGUAAUGAGAUAACUAUAACAGCUUUCGAUUAGGUUUCAUGUCAAUGGUGGUGAAUUUUCCUUGUGUUAUCUGAUCGGUUGUAGAGCAUGUAUAGCAGGAUUAUCAGGACUUAUGAGCCUAUUACAGGUUUAGGUUGAUUUUAUAACCCU